UCCGAGAGAGAUUUUGAUGGCCGAUAUA
rnacentral:sRNA from 1 species